UACAGAGGGUGCGAGCGUUAAUCGGAUUUACUGGGCGUAAAGGGCGCGUAGGUGGUAAAGCAAGUAAGAUGUGAAAGCCCUGGGCUUAACCUGGGAAGUGCAUCUUAAACUGCUUAACUAGAGUAUGGUAGAGGGUAGUGGAAUUUCCGGUGUAGCGGUGAAAUGCGUAGAGAUCGGAAGGAACGCCAGUGGUGAAGACGACUACCUGGACCAAUACUGACACUGAGGCGCGAAAGCGUGGGGAGCAAACAGG
rnacentral:rRNA from 1 species